rnacentral:piRNA from 1 species
UUCAAGUACCCAACAUGGAUUUGAAUGUU